rnacentral:rRNA from 1 species
AGAGUUUGAUCCUGGCUCAGGACGAACGCUGGCGGCGUGGAUUAGGCAUGCAAGUUGAGCGACGGACCAGGGCUUGCCCUGGUUACGGAGCAGCGAACGGGUGAGUAACACGUGAACAAUCUGUCCUUACAUUCCGGAUAAUUGGGAGAAAUCCCUUGUAAUACGGGGGAGGGUCUUCUGGGGGCAUUCCUAGAAGAAGGAAGGCGCAAGCCGUGCAAGGAGGAGUUCGCGGCCUAUCAGGUAGUUGGUGAGGUAAUGGCUCACCAAGCCUACGACGGGUAGCUGGUCUGAGAGGAUGGUCAGCCACAUUGGAACUGAGACACUGUCCAGACUCCUACGGGAGGCUGCAGUCGAGAAUCUUGGGCAAUGCACGAAAGUGUGACCCAGCGACGCCGCGUGAAGGAUGAAGGCCCUCUGGGUUGUAAACUUCUUUUAUGGGGAAAGAAAAGCCUUCGGGCCUUGACGGUACCCCAUGAAUAAGCCACGGCUAACUACGUGCCAGCAGCCGCGGUAAUACGUAGGUGGCAAGCGUUGUCCGGAUUUACUGGGCGUAAAGCGUACGCAGGCGGACUGUUAAGUAGGAAGUGAAAGGUUGGAGCUCAACUCUAACACUGCUUCCUAUACUGGCAGUCUUGAGUGGCGGAGAGGAAGAUGGAACGACACGUGUAGCGGUGAAAUGCGUUGAUAUGUGUCGGAACACCAAUGGCGAAAGCAAUCUUCUGGACGCAAACUGACGCUCAUGUACGAAAGCUAAGGUAGCAAACAGGAUUAGAUACCCUAGUAGUCC